rnacentral:lncRNA from 1 species
UAAAAAAAAAAACCUUGUGGCAAAUCACUUUGCAAAGCAGACUUACUUUAUAAAUAUGUUGCCCUUUUGUUUUAAAGCCAGAUUUUAAAGUACAGCUUGAAAAUAGGUUAUAUUUCAGAAGUUAGUUUAGAUGAGGUAUUUGGAACUUGGAAAGAAUUUUACAAGUAAGUAUCAGUAAUUCGUCUUAUGGGUAAACUGUUCAUCCAUCUAGAAUCAGUAUGUUUUAAAAGAAGAAUCAUGAAAAUAAAAAUUAAAGUUUUCAGUGAAGUAGAAAAGGUAAUUCAGACGAUUAAAAUUAUCCUUAAGAUUUCAAGUAAUAUAUAGGUAAUGAGAAAUGAAACUGUUUGAAAAAUAAAUAGAAAUGAUAGGAAUUUUGAAUUAUCAGAAGUUGGGAGUACUUUUACAUUUCCUGCUUAAUAAAAUGGGCCUGAGUUACACAAAAUAUUUCAGCUUAGUCAAAUUUUCGCUAGGUUGGGAAUUAUAAUCUCUGUAAAUGGGGCCUUUGUGUCAGCAAGAGCUUAAGACGUAAAAGCUCCUCUGUUCCUUGUAAUAACCGAGCGGGGCAGGUUCUGGCCUUACCUCCAUUUUAUACCUGAGGAAACUGAGGCACAGAGGUCCAGACCUUGGCAAGGUCAUGCUGUUCCUGAGCUCGGGUUUGAAGCCAGCUGUUCGAGUCCCAGGUGUGUGCUCCCACGCUCUUACUGUCACCUCCACUCUUAGUGGGUGAGGGAUGGAAAAUAGGGCUCCAAGUGCUGUAUGAUUAAGCCUGAUUAGUGGCGAAUGAAACCCGCACUUCCCAGAUAAACUGCAGGAGUCCCAGGAAGUGCCCUACCAGCCCCUUGACUGGCUGGGAACAUUCCCCUUCCAGUGACCUUGGCAGGACCGACGCCCUUGGAUGAGCGGCUCCAGGUGUAGCUCAGGCAUUUAUUCCAGCCCCAUUGCCAGGGCACUGCCAUCUCGAGGGGUUCUGAAAUGCUGCUUGGAGAGGAGAGAAAAGUGUUGAAGUCGGAUUGUUUAGAUCAGUGCUGGCCAAUAGACAAAGCAAGCCCCAUGUGAAAUUUUCCCUUUUCUAGGGACCAUGUUAAAAGAGUAAAGAGAAACAGGGGAAAACUGAUUCUAAUAAUAUGUCCUAAAUACAAUUUUGAAAUGUAAUGAAUAUUUAAAAAUUGAGAUAUUUUACAUUCUUUUUUCAUACCAAAUCUUUGAAAUCAAGUGUGCCUUUUACACUGACGGCACCUCUCAAUUCACACGAGCCCUGUUUUCUGUGCUCAGUAAUUGCAUGUGACUCGUGGCUCCCACACUGAUCAGUGUGGGUUUAGAUAGUAGCUAAAUGGUGACAUAACAGCCCCACUAAUGCUGACCAUCCCCUUCCCCUAGAUGGCAAGAGACUUCUGGGGCCCCAGUGGCUGGACUAUGACUGUGACCGAGCUGUGAUCGAGGACUGGGUGUUCAGGGUCCCCCAUGUGGCCAUAUUCCUGAGUGUGGUCAUUUGCAAGGGCUUUCUCAUCCUGUGCUCGUCUCUUGAUCUGACUACCCUGGUCCCUGAGCGUCAAGUGGACCAGGGCAGGGGUUUUGAGAGCAUCCUGGAUGUCCUCUCUGUCAUGUACAUCAACGCCCAGCUGCCUCGGGAGCAGCGGCACCGCUGGUGCCUGCUCUUUUCGUCUGAGCUCCAUGGACACAGCUUCUCCCAGCUCUGUGGCCACAUCACUCACCGGGGACCCUGUGUGGCUGUCCUCGAGGACCAUGACAAGCAUGUGUUCGGUGGGUUUGCCUCUUGCUCUUGGGAGGUGAAGCCUCAGUUUCAAGGUAAGACUUGGUGUCCUGAACCUUGACGAGUGGCACAGCACGGGCAAAGAGCUCUGGAGAAAGGGAGAGGGUGGGGGUGCUAAAUAGGGCUCUCCCAUCUUCUCCAAGUGUUUCUCUAGACGCAGUCGGGGCGAUAGGAAAAUGUGAUGCUGCUCUAUGGUGUUUAUCACAUCAGAGUUCUUCAGGACAGGCCGUGUGACCCCCAGUUUUCAGGCGAGGACACGGGCCCAGUUAUUACACGGUGCCGGGUCUAUGGGGCGUGGGAGAAGUCAAGCCACAGAUGCCUCCGAGGGGACCAGGAGAUGGUAAUUGGUUCAGAUCGGACAUUUUCCUUCCCUGGGCCUUCCUGCCCCUGCCCCCACCGCCACGCGUUUGCUUGUUGGAAUUUGGAAGCUUUGUGCAUGACCUUGAAUGCACUGGAUGAAAGGUUCUAAGUAAAUUCUUUUCCUUCCCUCAAGGAAGAAUACUCUGAUGAAAAGAGUCCUUUAAAAAUAUUUAAAACACAGGCCAGGUGCAGUGGCUCACACCUGGAAUCCCAGCAUUUUGGGAGGCUGAGGCAGGAGGAUCACUUGAACCCAGGAGUUUGAGACCAGCAUGGGCAACAUAGUGAGACCUUGCCUCUAUCUU